AUGGACAAUGUGUUCCCUGGAGUAGAGCAUAGGGAAUGCAUGCGUCACCUUGCUGCAAAUUUCAUGAAGAAAUUCAAAGGAAAGGUGUAUACCGACAAUUUAUGGCCAGCAUCUUUGACUUGCAGUGUGAAGAAGCACAACUACCACUUGAGGCAGUUAUACAUGAAUCCCAAAGUGAAAGGAUACUUGGAAACACACCACUCCAAGUUAUGGGCCGGAAGCCAAUUCAGUGAAGUGAGCAAAGUUGACUAUGUGCACAAUAAUCUAGCAGAGUCUUUCAACUCAACGAUCCAGAAA
rnacentral:rRNA from 1 species